GAUGAACGCUGACAGAAUGCUUAACACAUGCAAGUCUACUUGAACUUCGGUUUGGGUGGCGGACGGGUGAGUAACGCGUAAAGAACUUGCCUCACAGUUAGGGACAACAUUUGGAAACGAAUGCUAAUACCUGAUAUUAUGAUUUUAGGGCAUCCUAAGAUUAUGAAAGCUAUAUGCGCUGUGAGAGAGCUUUGCGUCCCAUUAGCUAGUUGGAGAGGUAACGGCUCACCAAGGCGAUGAUGGGUAGCCGGCCUGAGAGGGUGAACGGCCACAAGGGGACUGAGACACGGCCCUUACUCCUACGGGAGGCAGCAGUGGGGAAUAUUGGACAAUGGACCAAAAGUCUGAUCCAGCAAUUCUGUGUGCACGAUGACGUUUUUCGGAAUGUAAAGUGCUCUCAGUUGGGAAGAAAAAAAUGACGGUACCAACAGAAGAAGUGACGGCUAAAUACGUGCCAGCAGCCGCGGUAAUACGUAUGUCACAAGCGUUAUCCGGAUUUAUUGGGCGUAAAGCGCGUCUAGGUGGUUAUGUAAGUCUGAUGUGAAAAUGCAGGGCUCAACUCUGUAUUGCGUUGGAAACUGCAUGACUAGAGUACUGGAGAGGUAAGCGGAACUACAAGUGUAGAGGUGAAAUUCGUAUAUAUUUGUAGGAAUGCCGAUGGGGAAGCCAGCUUACUGACAGAUACUGACGCUAAAGCGCGAAAGCGUGGGUAGCAAACAGG
rnacentral:rRNA from 1 species